rnacentral:rRNA from 1 species
CAGUCGCCACGGUAAUACGAAGGGGGCUAGCGUUGCUCGGAAUGACUGGGCGUAAAGGGCGCGUAGGCGGCGAUCAAAGUCAGGCGUGAAAUUCCUGGGCUCAACCUGGGGGCUGCGUUUGAUACUUGAUUGCUAGAGUGGGGAAGAGGGUCGUGGAACUCCCAGUGUAGAGGUGAAAUUCGUAGAUAUUGGGAAGAACACCGGUGGCGAAGGCGGCGACCUGGUCCUUGACUGACGCUGAGGCGCGAAAGCGUGGGGAGCAAACCGGAUUAGAUACCCCCGUAGUCCCUGUCUCUUAUAC